CACGUAGGGGGCAAGCGUUGUCCGGAUUUAUUGGGCGUAAAGAGCUCGUAGGCGGUUCGGUAAGUCAGGUGUGAAACCUCCAGGCUCAACCUGGAGACGCCACCUGAUACUGCUGUGACUCGAGUCCGGUAGGGGAGCGUGGAAUUCCUGGUGUAGCGGUGAAAUGCGCAGAUAUCAGGAGGAACACCAGCGGCGAAGGCGGCGCCUCUGGGCCGGAACUGACGCUGAGGGAGCGAAAGCGUGGGUAGCAAACAGGA
rnacentral:rRNA from 1 species